GAUUCGUCACACUAUCAUUAACUGAAUCCAUAGGUUAAUGAGGCGAACCGGGGGAACUGAAACAUCUAAGUACCCCGAGGAAAAGAAAUCAACCGAGAUUCCCCCAGUAGCGGCGAGCGAACGGGGAGGAGCCCAGAGCCUGAAUCAGCAUGUGUGUUAGUGGAAGCGUCUGGAAAGGCGCGCGAUACAGGGUGACAGCCCCGUACACAAAAGCGCAUGUGCUGUGAGCUCGAUGAGUAGGGCGGGACACGUGGUAUCCUGUCUGAAUAUGGGGGGACCAUCCUCCAAGGCUAAAUACUCCUGACUGACCGAUAGUGAACCAGUACCGUGAGGGAAAGGCGAAAAGAACCCCGGCGAGGGGAGUGAAAAAGAACCUGAAACCGUGUACGUACAAGCAGUGGGAGCACCCUUCGGGGUGUGACUGCGUACCUUUUGUAUAAUGGGUCAGCGACUUAUAUUCUGUAGCAAGGUUAACCGUAUAGGGGAGCCGGAGGGAAACCGAGUCUUAAUUGGGCGUUAAGUUGCAGGGUAUAGACCCGAAACCCGGUGAUCUAGCCAUGGGCAGGUUGAAGGUUGGGUAACACUAACUGGAGGACCGAACCGACUAAUGUUGAAAAAUUAGCGGAUGACCUGUGGCUGGGGGUGAAAGGCCAAUCAAACCGGGAGAUAGCUGGUUCUCCCCGAAAGCUAUUUAGGUAGCGCCUCGUGAAUUCAUCUCCGGGGGUAGAGCACUGUUUCGGCUAGGGGGCCAUCCCGGCUUACCAACCCGAUGCAAACUGCGAAUACCGGAGAAUGUUAUCACGGGAGACACACGGCGGGUGCUAACGUCCGUCGUGAAGAGGGAAACAACCCAGACCGCCAGCUAAGGUCCCAAAGUCAUGGUUAAGUGGGAAACGAUGUGGGAAGGCCCAGACAGCCAGGAUGUUGGCUUAGAAGCAGCCAUCAUUUAAAGAAAGCGUAAUAGCUCACUGGUCGAGUCGGCCUGCGCGGAAGAUGUAACGGGGCUAAACCAUGCACCGAAGCUGCGGCAGCGAACGUAUCACCCAAGACAACUUUACGGAGUUGACGAUUGACGGAGCGAAGCGACGUCAAAGCGUUCAUUAAAGUCGAGUUGGCUUAGGGAUACGUUCGUUGGGUAGGGGAGCGUUCUGUAAGCCUGUGAAGGUGUGUCGUGAGGCAUGCUGGAGGUAUCAGAAGUGCGAAUGCUGACAUAAGUAACGAUAAAGCGGGUGAAAAGCCCGCUCGCCGGAAGACCAAGGGUUCCUGUCCAACGUUAAUCGGGGCAGGGUGAGUCGACCCCUAAGGCGAGGCCGAAAGGCGUAGUCGAUGGGAAACGGGUUAAUAUUCCCGUACUUGGUGUUACUGCGAAGGGGGGACGGAGAAGGCUAUGUUGGCCGGGCGACGGUUGUCCCGGUUUAAGCGUGUAGGUGUGUGUUCCAGGUAAAUCCGGUUCACUUUAACACUGAGGCGUGACGACGAGGCACUACGGUGCUGAAGCAACAAAUGCCCUGCUUCCAGGAAAAGCCUCUAAGCAUCAGGUAACAUCAAAUCGUACCCCAAACCGACACAGGUGGUCAGGUAGAGAAUACCAAGGCGCUUGAGAGAACUCGGGUGAAGGAACUAGGCAAAAUGGUGCCGUAACUUCGGGAGAAGGCACGCUGACACGUAGGUGAAGUGAUUUACUCAUGGAGCUGAAGUCAGUCGAAGAUACCAGCUGGCUGCAACUGUUUAUUAAAAACACAGCACUGUGCAAACACGAAAGUGGACGUAUACGGUGUGACGCCUGCCCGGUGCCGGAAGGUUAAUUGAUGGGGUCAGCGCAAGCGAAGCUCCUGAUCGAAGCCCCGGUAAACGGCGGCCGUAACUAUAACGGUCCUAAGGUAGCGAAAUUCCUUGUCGGGUAAGUUCCGACCUGCACGAAUGGCGUAAUGAUGGCCAGGCUGUCUCCACCCGAGACUCAGUGAAAUUGAACUCGCUGUGAAGAUGCAGUGUACCCGCGGCAAGACGGAAAGACCCCGUGAACCUUUACUAUAGCUUGACACUGAACAUUGAGCCUUGAUGUGUAGGAUAGGUGGGAGGCUUUGAAGUGUGGACGCCAGUCUGCAUGGAGCCGACCUUGAAAUACCACCCUUUAAUGUUUGAUGUUCUAACGUGGACCCGUAAUCCGGGUUGCGGACAGUGUCUGGUGGGUAGUUUGACUGGGGCGGUCUCCUCCUAAAGAGUAACGGAGGAGCACGAAGGUUGGCUAAUCCUGGUCGGACAUCAGGAGGUUAGUGCAAUGGCAUAAGCCAGCUUGACUGCGAGCGUGACGGCGCGAGCAGGUGCGAAAGCAGGUCAUAGUGAUCCGGUGGUUCUGAAUGGAAGGGCCAUCGCUCAACGGAUAAAAGGUACUCCGGGGAUAACAGGCUGAUACCGCCCAAGAGUUCAUAUCGACGGCGGUGUUUGGCACCUCGAUGUCGGCUCAUCACAUCCUGGGGCUGAAGUAGGUCCCAAGGGUAUGGCUGUUCGCCAUUUAAAGUGGUACGCGAGCUGGGUUUAGAACGUCGUGAGACAGUUCGGUCCCUAUCUGCCGUGGGCGCUGGAGAACUGAGGGGGGCUGCUCCUAGUACGAGAGGACCGGAGUGGACGCAUCACUGGUGUUCGGGUUGUCAUGCCAAUGGCACUGCCCGGUAGCUAAAUGCGGAAGAGAUAAGUGCUGAAAGCAUCUAAGCACGAAACUUGCCCCGAGAUGAGUUCUCCCUGAGACUUAGAGUCUCCUGAAGGAACGUUGAAGACGACGACGUUGAUAGG
rnacentral:rRNA from 1 species